AGGGGGAGAACAUCACUGAGUUACAAGAGACCAUAGCAGUCCAGGCAGAGUUACUGGACCUGAAAUGUGACACCAAAGGUCUGGUAGAGGGCCACAUCCUGGAAUCUAAGCUCAACCCCAAGACAGGAAAAGUUGCAACAAUUCUGGUACAGCGAGGUAUCUUGAAAACUGGAGCAAUAGUUGUUGCAGGAGAGGCGUAUGGAAAGGUU